GGUCAGUAGGUUGGUCGUGCCACCGGUACGUUCUGGUCUCACUGAUUCCUCCUUCUUGAAGAACCGUAAUGCCAUUAAUUUGGUGUUGCGGGGAAACAGGACUGUUACUUUGAAAAAAUUAGAGUGUUUAAAGCAAGCUAACGCUUGAAUACAUUAGCAUGGAAUAAUGAAAUAGGACGAUCGAUCCUAUUUUGUUGGUUUCUAGGAUUGACGUA
rnacentral:rRNA from 1 species